UUCGGAACUUCAGGACUUCGGGUAAGGGUAGGGUUAGAGGUAGGGAUAGGGGUAGGGUUAGGGUUGGUUUAGGUGUAGUUUAGGGGUAGGGUUAGAGGUAGGCUUAGGGUAGGGUUAUGGAUACCCUACCCCUAACCCUACUCCAACCACUAACCCUACCCCUAACCCUACUCCAUCCACUAACCCUACCCCUUACCCUACUCCAACCACUAACACUACCCUAACCCUUAACUGUAACCCUACCCCUAAACCUAAUCCUACCUCUACCCCAACCACUAACCCUACCCCAACCCUCUCCUGUUUUGCCACUUUUCAGAA